rnacentral:rRNA from 1 species
UACGUAGGUGGCAAGGCGUUAUCCGGAAUUAUUGGGCGUAAAGCGCGCGCAGGUGGUUUCUUAAGUCUGAUGUGAAAGCCCACGGCUCAACCGUGGAGGGUCAUUGGAAACUGGGAGACUUGAGUGCAGAAGAGGAAAGUGGAAUUCCAUGUGUAGCGGUGAAAUGCGUAGAGAAUAUGGAGGAACACCAGUGGCGAAGGCGACUUUCUGGUCUGUAACUGACACUGAGGCGCGAAAGCGUGGGGAGCAAACAGG